rnacentral:lncRNA from 10 species
CAUAAAGGUUCUCCAAGUCCCCGCCAGACUCAGGAGCCCAGCUGGCUUCACCCAGUGGAUCCCCCACGGGGGACUGUAGGUGGAGCUGCCUGCCAGUCCUGCGCCGUGCGCCCACACUCCUCAGCCCUUGGGAGGUCGAUGGGACUGGGCACCCGUGGAGCAGGGGGCGGUGCUCGUCGGGGAGGCUCCGCCCCGCAGGAGCCCACGCGGCCGGGAGGCUCAGGCACGGUGGGCGGCAGGUCCCAAGCCCUGCCUCGCUGGAAGGCAGCUAAGGCCCCGCGAGAAGUCUAGCACAGCAGCUGCUGGCCCAGGUGCUAAGCCCCUCACUUCCCGGGCCGGCAGGGCCGGCUGGCCGCUCGGGGUGCGGAGCCCGCCGAGCUCACGCCCACCUGGAACUCGCGCUGGCGCGCAAGCGCCGCGCACAACCCCUGCUCCCGCCCGCGCCUCUCCCUCCACACCUCCCCGCAGGCUGAGGGAGCCGGCUCCGGCCUCGGCCAGCCCAGGAAGGGGCUCCCACAGUGCAGCGGCGGGCUAAAGGUCUCCUACAGCGCCGCCAAAAUGUGAGCCCAGGCAGAGGAGGCGCCGAGAGUGAGCAAGGGCUGCCAGGGCUGUCAGCAUGCUGUCACCUCUCAAAAUGGUACCAGAAAUUUGAGAUGCAUACUAUGGAACUUCUGGAGAGUGAUGACUGCCAGGGAAAAUGGCCAGCUUAGGCUUCGUGAGGAUCUUUCAGGAUGGCUUCCUAGCACAGCCUGUGGCAGCUCAUCAGGGAACAAAGAAGAAAUGACAGUGUCCCUGCCCUUGAGAAGCUGAUACUCCAGUGAGAGAAGAAAACAGGCAAAGAGAAAGAUGUCACGAUGACAAAGUAACAUUGAAAUGAAUGUAGAAGAUAAUUGUGGGGGUUCGGUAAGGUGGGAAUGAGUAGAGUGCAUUGAAGUGAGACUCACCCUGGAACCCUGUCCAGUGAUACUGUCUUAGUCGGUUCUGGCUACUAUAAUGAAAUACCAUAGACUGGCUGGCAUGUAAAUAACAUAAACUUAUGUCUCACAGUUCUGAAGGCUUGGAAGUCCAAGAUCAAGACACCAGCAAAUUUUGUGUCUGGUGAAGGCCCACUUUCUGGUUCAUAGAUGGCACCUUCUAGCUGUUUCCUUAUACGACAGAAGGGGCUAGCUAGAUUUCUGGGAUCUCUUUUAUAAAGGCAUUACAAAUUGUGAGGGCUGCAUGCUUAUGACCUAAUCAUCUCCCGAAGACCCUAUCUCUUAAUACCAUCACCUUGAGGGUUAGGAUUUCAACAUGAGAAUUUUGAGAGGACACAUUCAGACCAUAGCAAAUACCAAGCUUUUUAUGGAUUCAUACUAUUUCAGAGAAUUAUACUGGUUGGCUAUAUCCUUAUUUCGAUUAUUACUAUCACCUUAAAAAAGGGAUUCUCAACUUUGAGCAUUACUGACAUUUUGGGCCAGAUCAUUUUGUUGUGGGGGCUGUCCUGUGUAUUGUAGGAUGUCUAGCAAUAUCCCUGGCCCCUCCCCACUAGAUGCCACUAGCACCUUGUCUACUACUCCUCCCCGCGCCCCCUACUUCCUCAGUAUGAUGACCCCAAAUGUUUCCAGACCUUACCAAAUGUUCCCUGUUGGGCCAGUUGCCCCCGGUUGAUGACCAUUGUGUUUAAAGAAUUCAUUUCAACUAUUUUAUCGGCCCCUAAGGCACCAGCCUCCCUCUGAGGCUGUGUCCAUGGGAAUGCUAUCUGUGGCUGCUUGCGGAUCUCUCCAGCACUGACUGGCUAAGUCACACUGGCAGCCAUGGGUGAGACUUCCUCAACGUGGGUGGAGCAAAUUCCUACGAUGCCAGGCUGCAAGGUUGCAUUUCUGCAUUUCUAGGUGUCGGGGAUGCCUUGAUUAUUUUCCAAAGUAAUCUAAAUUUUGUCUCCAGGGAUCCUUGCCCCUCCUAAAUGGGUAUUAUCUGGGAAUAAGACAGCUCAAUUGUUUAUGGAGCCUUUAUUUAAUAUUUGACAAUAUCUAGGAGAAAGUCACAAACACUUAGUUCAAUUAUUAAAAUAAAGCCUGUAGGGUAUCUCCCCAAAAGAGUAUCCCAGAAUCAUUAUUUUAAUUUAAGCAUAAUUAUAAAAGGGGGCUGGGAAGCCUGCAGUAGGGGGAGAUAAAUUUUCAAGUGUCAUUUUAGGAAAACAAAGGCUUUGCAAGAGAAAACAUCCACUUUCCCCCCUAGUUGCAGGCUUAAUGUUAUUAAUAAGUUAGAUGUCAGAUGUAUGCUGUUAUUGGCAGCAUGCAUACAAUUUAAAUAUUUUAGCUUUCAUUAUACAACUGAAUCUACAUGACUGAACUUCAAGGGCCCCAUUCAUAAGGGAUGAGGAGAGGGAACAAUCAGCUACUUCAUGCAAGGGCUGGCCAGCAGACUGGGUUUCCCCACAUUGUCAGACAAACCACGACACAGGGAAGGCUUUGGAGACGCUCUAACAUGGCAGGGUUGGGACAGAGAAUGAUGGGGGUGGGGGGCACCCUUUUGGGGCAGGGAGAGAGCCAAGGCUUGUUUUUCUUUUGGAAAAAAAGCUAUUCCAUCUUUGUUCCAAGGGAGAAUGAAAUAUCCAUUAAGACUGGUGACACUGGGAAUUUUGUUUUGGCUCAGUUCCUUUUGUUGUGACUCCACGGUAAAGGAGAGGAAUCUGGGGUAAGGAGGUUUCAAGCCAAGAUGAGAAAGAAAAAGCAUGCCUUCCAAGGAUUUCUUCUAUUGUCUCCCGGAGAAUAAAUAUUUAUAGAGAGGGUUCAAGUGAAGUCUGUCUCAAUGGUUGUGGCUUUAAGACUAAGCCUUUGAGAGAGUGCAUGUAAAACUAUGCUUAAAUGAAGGGUGAUCCAAUUAGGCUUCUCAGGGAAAACCAAGAAACCUCAAGAUAAUUUCCUAUCUGAAAUCUAAUUGUGUCCUCAAGUAGAAUAUGAAUACCACUUUGAAUUACCCCAGAUCCAUAGACGGCAGCAAAAAUGUACAGCCAAAUUGGAUUCUAUUUUAAGUAAUUAAGUUAUUUCCCUUCACAGGAUCUAUAAUUUGCCUUGAACAAAUGUGAUUUGCCUCAGAAAGAUAAGGCAUUGCAAUUUUUCCUCCAAAAUGGAUUUUCUGUGCCAGAAACAAUUACUAAAAGUAGACCAAAUAUUGUCGUAAUUAUAUCCUACUUAUUAUCUGAGUGCAUGCCUGGAGUGUACCCUGUUUGUGUUCCAAUGUGAGGUAGGUAUGGCUAGAGUUUAGAAAUUAUCUUUAAAUAGAAACCAAAGCUGAAAUUUACUCAAGAGCCUGGGGCUUGCACAAUGGUCGUGUUAAUAGCAACGGGUGGUUACAUAAGUCUCCAAAAUCUUGUGCAAAAUGUGAGCAACAGGGAGCUUGCUUCAGUGGACCUUCCUUCUGACUCUAACAAAUAUCAGUAUUAACUUGUAGCUGCUUGGCUGAGUCCUUGAGGAGGUGCUAGGUGUUGCGAUAGUUUAAGAAUAAAAGUGUUGAGAUUUGCAUAGAAGAUAUUACAAGAGGAGUAUUU